CCUACGGGUGGCAGCAGUGAGGAAUAUUGGUCAAUGGCCGGAAGGCUGAACCAGCCAAGCCGCGUGAAGGACGAAGGUGCCAAGCAUUGUAAACUUCUUUUGUCAAGGGACAAAAUCAGGCUCGAGAGCCUGACCGCGGGUACUUUAAGAAAAAGCAUCGGCUAACUCCGUGCCAGCAGCCGCGGUAAUACGGAGGAUGCGAGCGUUAUCCGGAUUUAUUGGGUUUAAAGGGUGCGUAGGCGGGCUGUUCAGUCAGCGGUAAAAGCCCGGGGCUCAACCCCGGCGAGCCGUUGAAACUGGCGGGCUGGAGAGGGCGAGAGGUAGGCGGAAUGCGCAGUGUAGCGGUGAAAUGCUUAGAUAUUGCGCAGAACUCCGAUUGCGAAGGCAGCAUACCGGAGGCGAUCUGACGCUGAGGCACGAAAGCGUGGGUAUCGAACAGGAUUAGAUACCCCUGUAGUC
rnacentral:rRNA from 1 species